GUUCCGUAGGUGAACCUGCGGAGGGAUCAUUAUUGUAUAACCAAAAUUCGAAAGCUUUCGCUAACCCGAAAAUUCUGGCACGCCCGAUUGCCCUCGCACGCAUCCGGCGCACCCCUAUGUGCACCACCGCGUGGGUGCCCGGGGGCGUGGGCGGAGGGGAGCUUACUUUUUCAAACAAACGAUAUAUUCAGUGUAGAAUGUAUAUUUUAUUUUUGCUAUCACGCAAGCAAUACAACUUUCAGCAACGGAUCUCGUAGGUCGCGCAUCGGUGAAGAACAC
rnacentral:misc_RNA from 1 species